rnacentral:lncRNA from 1 species
GUGAAGUUUACAAUAGUGUAUGUGAAUUUUUUUAUAAUGAAUCGAGGAGAAGGAGCGAAUUUUCAGCCAGAAGUUUUGAAAACUCAAGUCGUAGAUGAACUGACGGGCUUUUUUUUGAGACAAAAUUAAAGGAAUUAAGGAGGGAUUUCCACGCUGACACAGAAUGGGUGACAGAAUCUACCAUAAAGAAAGUAAGACUUGACAAUAGUAUUUCUUUAAAAAGUCUUUCUAACAGAAAACAGUUUACUUUCAAUAACGAAUUAGAUGAUAUUUUGGAUAGCAUUGACAAAGCAGUCACUCUGAGAGAAGCCUCUAAGGCUCACGAGUUCAUAGCGGAAGCCAAGGCUAAAAUUAAACAUAGAAAUAAGCUGAUUCGAAUUGCUGACACUUCUCCAGCCGGGUGGUCUACAAUUCAAGAAUAUGAAUUAUAUGAGGUGGCUAGUGAUUCCGACAACGACCGCCGUAUUAGAAAGGCUGAAGAAAGAGCCAAAUUAAAAAUAGAGAAAAUAAGUCAUUCUGAUAGCAAAGCUGAUACUUCUUUCAGUAAUUUUCAGUCCUUUCGGAACUUUCGACGUGGAACCGGAAGUCUUUCAGUGGCGGGAAGAUUCACCAGCAGAAGACCUGUCGUCUGCUACAUAUGUGGCCAAUCCGGGCACUUCGCUUCAGGAUGCGGCGCAGAAUUCACUUUCGGUUUUAGACAGGUUUGAGGAAUAGAAAGAAGCGUUAAAAGCUGGUUGUAGAAUGAUACAGAAAUGGUAUGCAAUGACGACUUUACAGCCAGAUGUUGAAUAAACAGGUUCGAAUAAUCGGACAGUAAGGUAUUUUUGUUCAUACAGUCAGUUUUGUUUUCAAAGAUAUAGAUAUAUUUCAGUUAUGUCUAAAGUCUUGUAUUCAGGUUUCAAGAAACUUUUCGAAUAACAUAAUUUAGUACUCGGCAUAUUGAAUAACACAUUUUGGAAGUAAAUUGUGUGCCGUAUGAUAAUAUGUAAAAUUGCAGAUAAAAUCAUUGAAGGUUCCACGUGUUUAGCAAUGUUUUAUGCUUUUAUUAAAAAUUAACAUCUCUACAAUUAUUAAAAAAUUAUAGGAUUAUUCAAGAGACAAUCAAUUACAGUGUGUCUGGCCACAGGAUGUGAUCUAUGAGGAGGAUUCAUUUUUGCUGUUUUAUAACAUACACAGGAACGAUUUGUGUAUUGGGUAUAUUAUAUAUACCAUUACAACGUAACUUUAAUUCAUCUCGAGGUUAAAUAUUUGGCAGUGAAGUUUACAAUAGUGUAUGCCCUACCCACCCUCCCCAUAUGCUUAAGAGGUUUAAAGCAUUCUUAUCAAUCGAUCUAUUAGUUCAGAUUUUUAUAAACGAUUUUCUAGUUGUCUGCAUAUUAAUGGACACUAAGCGAGAAGGAAAAUAGUCUUACUCUAGUAUUCUUGAUUUUAUUUUUAUUUUCACAUACAAUUCUUUCACAGGCAGUGUUACUCAGGAGGAUAUGACGUUGAUGGUUUUACAUUUAAUCAUUUCUAGAAAUAGUUCUUUUUCAGUUCAAUCAGUGCACAGUUACUUGUUACUUUUAUUUUAGUUUACUUUGAAAUUUUGUUCAAUUCUAAGUUAGUUUCGUUUCAGUUUUCCAUUCCAUUCCAACAAGACUACGACAACCGGAACAGAUGAAUACUGAAUUAAACGUGUAUUGUGUUGAUAUAUAAUGUAAAUCGAUACUUACUGCCAAAUAUUAGCCUUAUUCCUA